rnacentral:rRNA from 41 species
AAAACUUUCAACAACGGAUCUCUUGGUUCUGGCAUCGAUGAAGAACGCAGCGAAAUGCGAUAAGUAAUGUGAAUUGCAGAAUUCAGUGAAUCAUCGAAUCUUUGAACGCACAUUGCGCCCCUUGGUAUUCCGGGGGGCAUGCCUGUUCGAGCGUCAUU